AGUGAACGCUGGCGGUAGGCCUAACACAUGCAAGUCGAACGGCAGCACAGUAAGAGCUUGCUCUUACGGGUGGCGAGUGGCGGACGGGUGAGGAAUACAUCGGAAUCUACUUUUUCGUGGGGGAUAACGUAGGGAAACUUACGCUAAUACCGCAUACGACCUACGGGUGAAAGCAGGGGAUCUUCGGACCUUGCGCGAUUGAAUGAGCCGAUGUCGGAUUAGCUAGUUGGCGAGGUAAAGGCCCACCAAGGCGACGAUCCGUAGCUGCACUGAGAGGAUGAAAGGACACAAGGGAACUGAGACACGGUCCCGACCCCGACGGGAGGAAGCAGUAGGGAAGCUUCAGGAAUGGGGGAAAGCCGGAAGGAGGAAAGGCGGGGGAGGGAAGAAGGUCGUUGGAUCGUAAAACUAUGUUAGUAGGGAAGAAAAAAAGGGGAAGUAACUAUGCACGUCUUGACGGGAGCUAAUCAGAAAGCCACGGCUAACUACGUG
rnacentral:rRNA from 1 species